UACGUAGGGUGCAAGCGUUAAUCGGAAUUACUGGGCGUAAAGCGUGCGCAGGCGGUUUUGUAAGUUUGUCGUGAAAUCCCCGGGCUCAACCUGGGAAUGGCGAUGAAGACUGCAAGGCUAGAAUCUGGCAGAGGGGGGUAGAAUUCCACGUGUGAGCAGUGAAAUGCGUAGAGAUGUGGAGGAAUACCGAUGGCGAAGGCAGCCCCUGGGUCCAAGAUUGACGCGCAUGCACGAAGCGUGG
rnacentral:rRNA from 1 species